rnacentral:tRNA from 1 species
CCAAGGGUGACGGAGUGGCCAAUCGUACUAGACUGUAAAUCUAGCGGUCUUAUGACCUACGGAGGUUCGAAUCCUCCCCCUUGGA